AUAUGCAUUCAUUAUUCCGAUAUGGCCAUUUCUUUGCAAUGAAAUUAGGUGGCACGCAUUGGAGUCCAAUUGGUGAAAGUAAUGAUUCAUUAAAGUCCAAAUGGGCUGAGUGCUAAAUUUGCUCAGAAUUGAAUAAUUAAAUUAAUUGUUGAUUGUCACACAAUCGCCAUCGCUAGACAAUACAAUUCCAUACUGAUCGCAAAGCUGGUCAGGAACCCGACCAUUCUAAUAUGGUUUAUCUCAAUCCAUAGAAGGAUGGGUAAAAAUAGGUCAAUAUUAGAGCGCAAUUUUAAUUGUGCGAAACAACAAAUGAAAGAAAAAGACUAAAGAAAUAGAAAAAAAUUGACUUAGUUAUUACAACUUCUGCGAUCUUGUAAACAUUGAUGUAACAUAACAUGCUGCCCUGAUUUUACUAUUACUAUUACUCUAAGUACGACCUAAUAAUUGCAUGUGGCCAGCUCCAUGCGGUACUGUCUAGAAAUCCUUAAAAUAAUAUUGUUAGAUAUAUUUAAAAUAUACAGCGAU